rnacentral:rRNA from 1 species
UACAGAGGGUGCGAGCGUUAAUCGGAAUUACUGGGCGUAACGCGUGCGUAGGCGGUCGUGUAAGUCGGGUGUGAAAGCCCCGGGCUCAACCUGGGAAUUGCAUUCGAGACUGCACGGCUGGAGUGCGGAAGAGGGAAGCGGAAUUUCCGGUGUAGCGGUGAAAUGCGUAGAUAUCGGAAGGAACAUCAGUGGCGAACGCGGCUUCCUGGUUCAGCCCUGACGCUCAGGCACGAAAGCGUGGGGAGCAAACAGG